AGUGAACGCUGGCGGAGUGCCUAAUACAUGCAAGUCGAACGUGAAAGCCUUCGGGUGAGUAAAGUGGCGCACGGGUGAGUAAUGGAUGAGAACAUGCCCUGAAGUGGGGAAUAACUACUGGAAACGGUAGCUAAUACCGCAUGGCAUCGAAAGAUUAAAGGUGGGGAUCGUAAGACCUACCGCUUCAGGAUUGGCUCAUCUCCCAUUAGCUAGUUGGCAGGGUAAUGGCCUACCAAGGCAACGAUGGGUAACUGGUCUGAGAGGAUGAUCAGUCACACUGGAACUGAGACACGGUCCAGACUCCUACGGGAGGCAGCAGUAGGGAAUAUUGCACAAUGGGCGCAAGCCUGAUGCAGCAACUCCGCGUGAGUGAAGAAGGCCCUUGGGUUGUAAAGCUCUUUAGCCUGGAAAGAAGUGCUUCGUAGUGAACAAUUACGAGGUGUGACGGUACCAGGAGAAUAAGCACCGGCUAAUUUCGUGCCAGCCGCCGCAGUAAGAC
rnacentral:rRNA from 1 species